AGUGAACGCUGGCGGUAGGCCUAACACAUGCAAGUCGAACGGCAGCACAGUAAGAGCUUGCUCUUACGGGUGGCGAGUGGCGGACGGGUGAGGAAUACAUCGGAAUCUACUUUUUCGUGGGGGAUAACGUAGGGAAACUUACGCUAAUACCGCAUACGACCUACGGGUGAAAGCAGGGGAUCUUCGGACCUUGCGCGAUUGAAUGAGCCGAUGUCGGAUUAGCUAGUUGGCGGGGUAAAGGCCCACCAAGGCGACGAUCCGUAGCUGGUCUGAGAGGAUGAUCAGCCACACUGGAACUGAGACACGGUCCAGACUCCUACGGGAGGCAGCAGUGGGGAAUAGUGGACAAGGGGCGCAAGCCUGAUCCAGCCAUACCGCGUGGGUGAAGAAGGCCGUCGGGUUGAAAAGCCCUUUUGUGGGGAAAGAAAAGCAGCAGGUUAAUACCCCGCUGUUCUGACGGUACCCAAAGAAUAAGCACCGGCUAACGUCG
rnacentral:rRNA from 1 species